UAAAAAUGCUAAUUAGAAUAAGGUUGUGG
rnacentral:piRNA from 1 species